rnacentral:rRNA from 1 species
GGGCUCAACCUGGGAACUGCAUUCGAAACUGGCAGGCUAGAGUCUUGUAGAGGGGGGUAGAAUUCCAGGUGUAGCGGUGAAAUGCGUAGAGAUCUGGAGGAAUACCGGUGGCGAAGGCGGCCCCCUGGACAAAGACUGACGCUCAGGUGCGAAAGCGUGGGGAGCAAACAGGAUUAGAUACCCUGGUAGUCCACGCCGUAAACGAUGUCGACUUGGAGGUUGUGCCCUUGAGGCGUGGCUUCCGGAGCUAACGCGUUAAGUCGACCGCCUGGGGAGUACGGCCGCAAGGUUAAAACUCAAAUGAAUUGACGGGGGCCCGCACAAGCGGUGGAGCAUGUGGUUUAAUUCGAUGCAACGCGAAGAACCUUACCUACUCUUGACAUCCAGA